GGGAUAUGAAAUAGGGAUCUGGUGUGGGUGUGGGUGGAGGUGAGGGUUGGUUCAUUUGAUCUGCGACUGAGAGAAGAGAAGAGAAUUGUGAUGGGGGGAGGACAGGGUCACGGCACAACCUACAAAGGUGUUACCAUUCAUCAGCCAAAGCGCUGGCACACUAUCACCGGCAAGGGUUUGUGCGCGGUCAUGUGGUUUUGGGUAUUCUACAGGGCAAAGCAAGAUGGUCCUGUUGUAUUGGGCUGGAGACAUCCUUGGGAGGGUCACCAUGAUGAUCAUGGCAAGGGCCAUUAGCAUUCCUUAGGCAUGAGCUCCAAGAACAGGAAGAACAGAAUUUGAAGUGUCUGUUGCUGUGGAUGUGUUGUUCAAAUGUUUACUUUGAUCAAUUCAAUAAAUUUGGCUGUAAAAUAAGAGAUUUCUUUUUGCAUGAUUUCAUGAGCAUUAGAUAUGUCUGUGCACCUUACCUGCUAACUGGGAUGAAAGUCAUGCUAUGUUUGGUUGGAUUAUUAUCCAUUUCGUCGCUUUUCUCAGAAAUUUAUGGGAGUUGACUCAAUGUCUGUGUGUCAACUAUAAUAGACGUGUGUCCGCCAGUUGACAACACAAUGUUAUAGUGCAUUUUUGUUUAUUUCAAAGAACUUCAUGUUGUGUUACCUCAGUAAUCCGAUAUCUUAUUUAGAUCAUACCCAGAUAUGAUAGAUGUCCUUUGCAGAACUGUGGAGUGGCAAAGAGUCAUAGAGUCGAGAAAAUUCCAUUUUGCGUUUGAAGAAACACAGAAUUACGAAAUUGGGACAAUGGUGACAACUUAGAGACCAGAUUGUCCAAACUCCGAAGCAAAAAAAAAAUAAAAAAUUCUGCUCUUCGUAUGUGCUAACCUAUGCUUAAUUAUUUUAAUUGGAGCAAAAUUUGUUCACCAAAUAGUAUGGAUUUUUAAAUGUACGAGGAUGAAUAUAAGAUUGUGCUACAAGCAUGGGGAUGAAUAUAUUAGGAUCUGACUAGUAAAAUUAUCACCUUAUUUUCUUUAUUCUCAAAAAACUUAUAUUUCUAAGAACAAUUAUGAUUAAUUAAAUAGAUUUUAUUCAUCUCUACGAAUUAUGAUUUUUGGGCAUGAAUGUUUUUUUUCUUGCACUAAACGUUUCUAAGAGAUUGUGCUACAAGCAUGCAGGUGUUUAGACUUUGUUUUUAAGUUCAACACAUUGGAUUGGAUGUGGAUGCUAUCAUUAUCAUCAUUCCGAAAUUCCCAGGAAUUCUUGAAAAACUUGCCAGUUUUAUUAAAGACAAAAGUUCCUGAAUCGAUCUUGACCUUAACUCCCACAAAGCCAAAAAAUAUUUGCGAUGGUUGAUUGAAGUGUGUAAUGUUCAUAGUGUUUGAAAUAUUGGGCGUUGUGUGGACGCGUAGAAUAAGAUUUUUUGUUUUGUUUUGUUUUAUCAAGAGAGAAAAUACGAGGUGUUUCUAGACACUUAGGUUUGGGCCGUCAUAUACAUACAUGAACAUGUGGAUUGUUAGAGAAUAGUAAGAAUAGAAUAGAGAGAAUAACUAAGAGCAGAGUGAAGAUUAGAUUAGAAAAGUUUGAGGCAAGGAAAUAGAAAUGUCAUACUUGCUAACACUUGCACUCUGGAUUGGCAGUAGAUGAGGCUAUUCUCUCCGAGGAAGAACGAGUUGUUGUCAUUCGCUUCGGCCUCGAUUGGGAUCACACCUGCAUGCAGACCUUGGAACCGGAA